UUUACUGUAUAAUGCCAGGCAGGUGCUU
rnacentral:piRNA from 1 species